rnacentral:rRNA from 1 species
GACGAACGCUGGCGGCGUGCCUAAUACAUGCAAGUAGAACGCUGAAGAGAGGAGCUUGCUCUUCUUGGAUGAGUUGCGAACGGGUGAGUAACGCGUAGGUAACCUGCCUGGUAGCGGGGGAUAACUAUUGGAAACGAUAGCUAAUACCGCAUGAUAUUAAUUGUCGCAUGAUAAUUAAUUGAAAGAUGCAAUUGCAUCACUACCAGAUGGACCUGCGUUGUAUUAGCUAGUUGGUGAGGUAACGGCUCACCAAGGCGACGAUACAUAGCCGACCUGAGAGGGUGAUCGGCCACACUGGGACUGAGACACGACCCAGACUCCUACGGGAGGCAGCAGUAGGGAAUCUUCGGCAAUGGGGGGAACCCUGACCGAGCAACGCCGCGUGAGUGAAGAAGGUUUUCGGAUCGUAAAGCUCUGUUGUAAGAGAAGAACGGGUGUGAGAGUGGAAAGUUCACACUGUGACGGAUCUA